rnacentral:rRNA from 1 species
UACGUAGGGGGCAAGCGUUGUCCGGAUUUAUUGGGCGUAAAGAGCGUGUAGGCGGCCAGGUAGGUCCGUUGUGAAAACUCGAGGCUCAACCUCGAGACGCCGAUGGAAACCAUCUGGCUAGAGUCCGGAAGAGGAGAGUGGAAUUCCCCGGUGUAGCGGUGAAAUGCGCAGAUAUCGGGAAGAACACCCGUGGCUAAGGCGGCUCUCUAGUACGGUACUGACGCUGAGACGCGAAAGCGUGGGGAGCGAACAGG